CGCACGGGUGAGUAACACGUAUGCAACCUGCCUGCCACAGCCGGAUAAUCGGGAGAAAUUCCGUCUAAUACGGCAUAAUGCAUCGACGGGACAUCCUGUUGGUGCCAAAGGUUAAUUCCGGUGGCGGAUGGGCAUGCGUCGCAUUAGUUAGUUGGCGGUGUAACGGACCACCAAGACGACGAUGCGUAGGGGUUCUGAGAGGAAGGUCCCCCACACUGGUACUGAGACACGAACCAGACUCCUACGGGAGGCAGCAG
rnacentral:rRNA from 1 species